rnacentral:misc_RNA from 1 species
GAUGAAGAACGUAGCGAAAUGCGAUAAGUAAUGUGAAUUGCAGAAUUCAGUGAAUCAUCGAAUCUUUGAACGCACAUUGCGCCCCUUGGUAUUCCGAGGGGCAUGCCUGUUCGAGCGUCAUUAUAACCCCUCAAGCUUAGCUUGGUGUUGGGGCCUGCUGUAAUAGAGCAGCCCUUAAAAUCAGUGGCGGCGCCAUUAGGCUCUAAGCGUAGUAAUUCUUCUCGCUAUAGGGUUCUGGUGGAUGCUUGCCAUUAACCUCUAAUUUUCUAUGGUUGACCUCGGAUCAGGUAGGGAUACCCGCUGAACUUAAGCAUAUCAAUAAGCGGAGGA